AUUGAACGCUGGCGGCAGGCUUAACACAUGCAAGUCGAGCGCGCGGCGGACGGGUGAGUAAUGUCUGGGAAACUGCCUGAUGGAGGGGGAUAACUAAUGGAAACGGUAGCUAAUACCGCAUACAAUCAGAUGUGACCAGAUGGGCUGAGCUAGUAGGUGGGGUAAUGUCUCACCUAGGCGACGCUCCCUAGCUGGUCUGAGAGGAUGACCAGCCACUCUGGAUCUGAGACACGGUGCUGACGCGUCCGGGAGGCACAGUGUGGGAAUAUUGCGGAAUGGUCGCAAGCCUGAUGCGGCCAUGCCGCGUGUGUGAAGAAGGCCUUCGGAUUGUAAAGCACUGUCAGCGAGGAGGCGUUACGCUCAGAAGAAGCACCGGCUAACUCCGUGCCAGCAGCCGCGGUAAUUC
rnacentral:rRNA from 1 species